rnacentral:rRNA from 1 species
GACGAACGCUGGCGGCGUGCUUAACACAUGCAAGUCGAACGGAAAGGCCCUGCUUUUGUGGGGUGCUCGAGUGGCGAACGGGUGAGUAACACGUGAGUAUCCUGCCCUUGACUUUGGGAUAACUUCAGGAAACUGGGGCUAAUACCGGAUAGGAGCUCCUGCUGCAUGGUGGGGGUUGGAAAGUUUCGGCGGUUGGGGAUGGACUCGCGUCUUUUCAGCUUGUUGGUGGGGUAGUGGCUUACACAGGCUUUGACGGGUAGCCGGCCUGAGAGGGUGACCGGCCACAUUGGGACUGAGAUACGGCCCAGACUCCUACGGGAGGCAGCGGUGGGGAAUAUUGCACAAUGGGCGGAAGCCGGAUGCAGCAACGCCGCGUGCGGGAUGACGGCCUUCGGGUUGUAACCCGCUUUCGCCUGUGACGAAGCGUGAGUGACGGUAAUGGGUAAAGAAGCACCGGCUAACUAAGUG